rnacentral:piRNA from 1 species
UUCAUCCUUGGAGCCUGGAACCUG